GCACUACUAAUGAGUCCCAAACAGGACGAAACAGCUGUCCAGUGC
rfam:Echinostoma caproni strain Egypt genome assembly, scaffold: ECPE_scaffold0000733